UCCUGCACCAUCGACCGACCAUGAUUCUUCGGAUGAAAGGUUUGAGUGUGAGCAUAUCUGUUGGGACCCGAAAGAUGGUGAACUAUGCUUGAGUAGGGCGAAGCCAGGGGAAACUCUGGUGGAGGUCCGCAGCGAUUCUAACGUGCAAAUUGAUCGUCGAACUUGGGUAUAGGGGCGAAAGACUAAU
rnacentral:rRNA from 1 species